rnacentral:rRNA from 1 species
ACACAUGCAAGUCGAGGGGCAGCAUGGUCUUAGCUUGCUAAGGCCGAUGGCGACCGGCGCACGGGUGAGUAACACGUAUCCAACCUGCCGUCUACUCUUGGACAGCCUUCUGAAAGGAAGAUUAAUCCAGGAUGGGAUCAUGAGUUCACAUGUCCGCAUGAUUAAAGGUAUUUUCCGGUAGACGAUGGGGAUGCGUUCCAUUAGAUAGUAGGCGGGGUAACGGCCCACCUAGUCAACGAUGGAUAGGGGUUCUGAGAGGAAGGUCCCCCACAUUGGAACUGAGACACGGUCCAAACUCCUACGGGAGGCAGCAGUGAGGAAUAUUGGUCAAUGGGCGAUGGCCUGAACCAGCCAAGUAGCGUGAAGGAUGACUGCCCUAUGGGUUGUAAACUUCUUUUAUAAAGGAAUAAAGUCGGGUAUGCAUACCCGUUUGCAUGUACUUUAUGAAUAAGGAUCGGCUAACUCCGUGCCAGCAGCCGCGGUAAUACGGAGGAUCCGAGCGUUAUCCGGAUUUAUUGGGUUUAAAGGGAGCGUAGAUGGAUGUUUAAGUCAGUUGUGAAAGUUUGCGGCUCAACCGUAAAAUUGCAGUUGAUACUGGAUGUCUUGAGUGCAGUUGAGGCAGGCGGAAUUCGUGGUGUAGCGGUGAAAUGCUUAGAUAUCACGAAGAACUCCGAUUGCGAAGGCAGCCUGCUAAGCUGCAACUGACAUUGAGGCUCGAAAGUGUGGGUAUCAAACAGGAUUAGAUACCCUGGUAGUCCACACGGUAAACGAUGAAUACUCGCUGUUUGCGAUAUACGGCAAGCGGCCAAGCGAAAGCGUUAAGUAUUCCACCUGGGGAGUACGCCGGCAACGGUGAAACUCAAAGGAAUUGACGGGGGCCCGCACAAGCGGAGGAACAUGUGGUUUAAUUCGAUGAUACGCGAGGAACCUUACCCGGGCUUAAAU